AGAAUUGAAGAAAGUUAGAGCCUAGCUUUAGGUUAGGCUUUGACUUAAGGGAAUAUGGUGGCUGGUUGAUCAUCUAUCUGGACCAUGAAGACAUCCUCCUUAUCAGCAGAGCACACAAAAUUUAGAACAACUAUCUAUUCUUUCCUGAUUUAAACUGUAUGUGCCCAAGUCAGCCUGAUGGAUAACCUAAUCCGAUUGCUGAAGGACAAGCUGAUUCUCUGUAACGGUUCGCCAGGACCAACACGUCACGUGUUAUCCUAGGAAAGGAAAACUAAAAUUGCAUGAUGGAA